GCUACCGCAGGGUUGGUGGACUAGGGAAGGAGUGAAGAUGGCGGAGUGAGGUGCACCGCGGCGAGGCGGCCUCUGGGCCGGGGGCGGGAAGGCCCCCGGAAGGUCGAGUGCUUCUGCUGGCUGGUGCGAGGAAGAACAUUUUCUUUGGCUUCCAGGUGCUCUUAUAUUCAUCUUGAGAAGAAAAUAAAAUUCUGAACUCAGGAUUUGGCAAGUAUUGUGUGUUUCUCCUGAAGUAGGUAGUCCUUCUUCUUUUAUCCAGCCACUUUCCCUAUUCUUGAAAUGUGGAUAUCUCUUCUCUACAUGCUUUACCUCCAUGAUUUGGAUUGGAAAAGGCUGGUUUUCUUUGGUUCCACUUCUCAGAUUCAACAUAGAGAAGCUCCUAGGAUGCAGCCGUCUUGCUGAGCACUCCAGGAAGAAAGAAGCAACUGACAUGCAUGUUCUGCUUUUGCUUAAUUAAAAAGAAAUUAUUUUGGAAGCUGGGGCUGAUGUUUAAUUUGAAACAGGUGCUUAGAUGUUGGCGUUUUUUAAUUCUUUACCUUUUGUUCCAAACAAGAAGACUAAAUAAAUAGCAAGUAUGGAUGACAUCAGGUUUUUUUUUUUUUAAUGUCUUCCAGUUUCAGCCACUGUCAUAGGCACAGUUGAAUCUGCAAAAGUAAAUUUCAAAUAUAUGUUCUAAUUGGAAAUGAAAGAGAUGCUUCAAAAUUACAUAUUUAAAUAUCUAAACUCAUCUUGUGAAAUAUAUUUGCUGGAAAAGAAUGAAGGUCUAAUUUUGCAAUAAAACCUUUGAUGUGAUAAAGAAGCAUAAAGACAAGAUCCUGCAAGGUUAACCGAGUCUCUGUAAACUACACAUUUUUACAUGUGUAAAUCUACAUUUUGGAUGAGAAGAGGGAUUUUACUCUUAGAGAAGGAAGCUGUUGUUGACUUCUGUCUCAGAAGUUUUGGACAUUUGGUAUUUUUUAAUGAUUUUUCAUUCUUCUAAAGAAGGACCACAUUGUGCAUUUGCUAACCCCAUGAAUCCAUGCUUGGAUUUACUGAAAGGUUGGAAAAGGAAAUAAAACAACUCCAAGUCCAGUGAUGGAACCCUGUUCAUCUAGCUCAGAUGAGAAGCUGUUAUUUUGCAAAUUACUUCAUUCAUUUUUGUGCGGUCUUAUAUAGCACUUGAGGUUUGGUUUUCCAUGCUGCUAAGGCAGGAAGAAGAGUGGCUUAAGUGGUUUUUCUGUUCAGAAAAUCUAGUGGAUCCUUUAGUAUGACCUGCCUUCAACUUUGGACAUGGAGGAAUGGGGAGGAAAAUGAGAAAAGUUUCCAUAUUAUUUCUUUCUCAUCAGAAAAAGAAGCAAAAAUGCCUUAGGCAGCUCCAUCUGACUUUAUGGCAUUUUACAUUCUGUAGCUCAGUUUUUCUAAAAACAUAAAUAACCUUUUUCCUUUGAUCCAAGAUGGGUACUCGGAUGUUUGGUUUUUCUAGGUGAGGAGUAAUGUUAGGCUGUCAGGGCUGGGACUCAGGUAACUUUUCCCAGUUGGAACUGAACUUUCUCAUCAGAGAAUGGACCUCAAAAGCAAUGUUCCCAAACUUGUGGUUGAUUUAGAAGAAGUUCAGGUUCUGGAAAAAAACCUCAAAUAAGAAAGAUAGUUCAGUAAGAAAUACAGAUCUUCCUUCUUUCUCUUAAAACCUACGCCAUGUGAUGAACAGACUAUUGUGUAAAGCUGUUCUUGCUUCCAAAUCAACAGAGGACCAGUGUCUGAAUUGUCAGGUCUUUACAUAAGAAGAAUAAAACUGUAUGAGCCUUUGUGAGAAAGAACUUAAAACUUCUUAGAUGCAAUUAAGAACAAAUUGUCUUAAUCAUGUCUGUAAUUUAGGGAAUUUGCCUAGGGCCAUACAUGCUGUGAUGGUAAAAACUUAGGGCAGAUUUACCAAAAUUUAGCAGUGAUAGAAAUGACCAAAAAUGGGAAAUGUUGAGCAUUCUUAAUGAUUAAAUUGGUCAACCUAUUGGAACUGGCAUAAGAAAGCUUUUUAGUAAAAUACUUAUGUAAUAAGAGAUAAUUUCCUUUGAGGGCAAAUACUGAGUGGUAAAGCAUAGAAGUAACUUUGGAUAAAGGUAACAAAUUUUUCUCUAACUUCUUAGCCAACUUUCUGAUAUUUUCCUUUAGUAUUUUGGAAUUGUUAAAGAUAGAAUGGAACCUGCAUACAUGAAUCACAUUGGUAUGUUGAGAAUCUUUAUCUUCUGUUGUCUGUUAUCCAUCUUCCCUGUGUCCUUUUUGCAGUGUUUUGGGUAGGGUCAUUUGGCACAGGGGAUAGGGACUCUAUACUGUCUGCAACACUGAAACCAUCUCUGGCCCACUUGUUGGAAUAUGUAGCAGACUUAUCUUCUCCAUUUGCUUUGUGUUUUUUAUUUCAUAGCUAAAAGAACCAUUGCUGAAUGAUCUCCUUCAAGUUCUUGAAUCUUUAAUGGUUGUCACCAGAUGGCAUCUACCAAAAUGGGUAUAUGCCAAUUUUACUAGCCCAGGGUUUACUAAAUACACCUACAUCCCCCACCCCCACCCUGCCCCGGUCUAUUUUGGCCCUUCUUGAUGGCAAAAGCUAUGAUUUUAGGCAGGAAUAUGCCUGCUUCUUUCCCUUUGCUCAUCCAUGUCAGCUGGCAGUUUUUCUUUUAAAAAGUUCAACAAAAACGGGAUAUGUGCAAUAGAAAUAUAUAUAUGUAUAUUUUAAUACUUGUGGACAAAUGUUACAAGUUGUUUAAGAACAACAAAAUCACCAAUGUCUUCCAUUUUGAGAUGUGUAUAGUUUUGUAAGCAUUAGUGCUUGGUAGCAUAUUGUAGUGCCAUGUUAGGGGUUAGUGCAUGAGCCUAGUAAUAACUUAAACUUCAGGAUGAAUUAUUGAUAAUAACCAAUAGUGUAAACUGAGUGGAAAAUUGAGACCUUUUCUUUUUUCAUAAAUAUCUCAAUCGUUAUAUUCUCUCUGGGGAAAGGCGAUUAAGGCCAAAAAGACUCAUUUAUGAAUAGAAAUGUGGGAUCACAGUGUGAAAUACUAUGUUUGAGGUUAUUUAAGCUUUCUCUGAGGUAGCUGGAAACCAGCUCUCCUUGUGUCUUAUGAAGCCUCAAAUCAAAAUGAGUCCCCAUUUCAUGAUUCUGCUUUUUUGCUCUCUCAGUUUGAGAUGAGAUUGUUUUUAUGCUGUUUCACACUGUAUGUCUUAUAAGUUUAUUAUUUAAUCCACUUUUUGCAUCAAGAAAUUCUUUUAUAUUUUGCAUGUCUUAGAUAUUGUGUUUAUCAAGUGCUUUUCUAAUCUGCAGACCAUUUACAUUUCUUGUCUGCAGCAUGCUACUUGUUAUAGAAGAACACUGGUCAGUAGUUCAGUGUCCUACAUUAAUUUGUCACGGGCUUUUCCUGUUUCAGAAUCUGAAUCGUGUGUUGAUGGGAUUCCAGACCUUUACACGAGAAUUGGAAUGUAGCUAGAUAAAGCUUACCCAGGUUGCCAUGUAAUAACUCUAUUUUGCUUGAUUAGAGUAAGCCACCUCGGACAGCUUUCACUUUUUUCUGCUUUCCUGGUAGAAAUAAAAGUUGUUUUGUUCUGAAAGCAUAGGAUAGUUUUCUGUGGAAAAGAAAUUCCUACCUCUAAAAGCUGCCUUGAGAACUUGGAAAGGGCAGUUCCCUGAGGUGAUUUAUAAAUCUCCAUAUCCUGAGAGUUCAGGAUUUAUUAACACAGGUUCUACAGUUACCAUGAUGUGAAAUGCAAAACUAAUGUGGUGUGUCUCCUGUACGGAAGCAAGCUUAAACAAAUAGACUUUGCAGCAGCAGAUAUCCAGGGACCCAGGUUUAGAUUCUCAUAGUGUAUUUAAAGUUGUUGUACUCUUGGCUCAAGAAGUUUAUUACCUGGGAGAAUCCAUUUCUGAAAAGCAUUUAAACAUUUUUUAAAAUACCUCUGAAAAGGUAAUGAAUGCAAAAUAGCACAGUAUAUAGGAAAGGAUAGUUCCUACUGCAAAAAAUAAAAAAUAAAAGCCAUAAAAUAAUAAUUUUCAAGAGGUAGAAUUUUAGUAGCAAUAACAGUUUUGCUUGUAAAUUGUAUUAGCAAAGUUGUACAGUAGAAUAAAUAUUAUUACUUGAGGUUGUGAAGCUCUGUGAUCAACAGAGUUGCACAAAAGGAAAAAUGUUUUAGACAAAGAACAUAUAAAAGGUACUUACAGAGCUGAAUGUAUAUGAAUAUAUCAUUGUGUGAGAAGUAGCAACUUUUGUGUAAGUUUAAAGGUUAGAGACCCUAUUUGUUUCCUAAAGCAGAGGGUUAGAGCCAUUGAAUGAAAAUUUUCUAGUGGUUAACCUGGAAACAAAUGUACUACUGAUGUAGCUCCACUGAAGCCAUCAGGUGGAGACUUUGCUUCUGAUGUUCUUGUCAGCAACAAGCGUCUACAGAAUAGUGUACUUCAUUGUUUGUCACUUCUUCUUUUCCCCAUUGGUUUUCUGGGUGCAUUUUAAAAAAGGUAAAGUUAGCUAUGUGUGUACGUUUGGGUUAAAACAAGCCAGGGACUUGGAUAGCUGGCUUUUCCUUAUGGCUUUGGUUAGUUUAGGGGAGUUAUAUUUAAAGAUGUAAAGCAGAGGAUUGAAGGCAAUAGCCAAAGACAGUAUGUUGGCUUUUUUUUUUUUUUAA